rnacentral:rRNA from 1 species
AAAUUGAAGAGUUUGAUCAUGGCUCAGAUUGAACGCUGGCGGCAGGCCUAACACAUGCAAGUCGAACGGUGCACAGAGAGCUUGCUCUCGGGUGACGAGUGGCGGACGGGUGAGUAAUGUCUGGGAAACUGCCUGAUGGAGGGGGAUAACUACUGGAAACGGUGGCUAAUACCGCAUAACGUCGCAAGACCAAAGAGGGGGACCUUCGGGCCUCUUGCCAUCAGAUGUGCCCAGAUGGGAUUAGC